rnacentral:rRNA from 1 species
GCCUCAGUACCGGCGAGUGAAGCGGCAACAGCUCAAAUUUGAAACCUGGCCUUCUGGUCCGGAUUGUAAUUUGUAGAGGACGCUUUUGGUGCGGUACCUUCCGAGUUCCCUGGAACGGGACGCCUUAGAGGGUGAGAGCCCCGUACGGUUGGAUACCUAGCCUCUGUAUAGCUCCUUCGACGAGUCGAGUAGUUUGGGAAUGCUGCUCUAAAUGGGAGGUAAAUUUCUUCUAAAGCUAAAUACCGGCCAGAGACCGAUAGCGCACAAGUAGAGUGAUCGAAAGAUGAAAAGCACUUUGAAAAGAGGGUUAAAUAGCACGUGAAAUUGUUGAAAGGGAAGCGCUUAUGACCAGACCUUUUCUUAACGGAUCAUCCGGUGUUCUCACCGGUGCACUUCGUUAGGUUUAGGCCAGCGUCGAUUUUCGGAGGGGGAUAAAGGCUUCGGGAAUGUGACUCUCUUCGGGGAGUGUUAUAGCCCGUUGUGUAAUACCCCUCUGGGGAUCGAGGUUCGCGCUCUGCAAGGACGCUGGCAUAAUGGUCAUCAGUGACCCGUCUUGAAACACGGACCAAGGAGUCGAACAUUUGUGCGAGUGUUUGGGUGUUAAACCCUCACGCGUAAUGAAAGUGAACGGAGGUGAGAGCCCUUACGGGGUGCAUCAUCGACCGAUCCUGAUGUCUUCGGAUGGAUUUGAGUAAGAGCAUAACUGUUCGGACCCGAAAGAUGGUGAACUAUGCGUGGAUAGGGUGAAGCCAGAGGAAACUCUGGUGGAGGCUCGCAGCGGUUCUGACGUGCAAAUCGAUCGUCAAAUCUGCGCAUGGGGGC